rnacentral:rRNA from 1 species
AUUGAACGCUGGCGGCAGGCUUAACACAUGCAAGUCGAGCGGAGUGAUGGUGCUUGCACUAUCACUUAGCGGCGGACGGGUGAGUAAUGCUUAGGAAUCUGCCUAUUAGUGGGGGACAACAUUCCGAAAGGAAUGCUAAUACCGCAUACGGCCUACGGGGGAAAGCAGGGGAUCUUCGGACCUUGCGGUAAUAGAUGAGCCUAAGUCGGAUUAGCUAGUUGGUGGGGUAAAGGCCUACCAAGGCGACGAUCUGUAGCGGGUCGUGAGAGGAUGAUCCGCCACACUGGGACUGAGACACGGCCCAGACUCCUACGGGAGGCAGCAGUGGGGAAUAUUGGACAAUGGGCGGAAGCCUGAUCCAGCCAUGCCGCGUGUGUGAAGAAGGCCUUUUGGUUGUAAAGCACUUUAAGCGAGGAGGAGGCUCUUAAGGUUAAUACCCUUGAUGAGUGGACGUUACUCGCAGAAUAAGCACCGACUAACUCUGAGCCAGCCGCCGCGGUAACAC